rnacentral:rRNA from 1 species
AGCCACAGACAUAUCACCCUGCAGCCCACUGAAGCUAAGCAGGGCAGAGCCUGGUUAGUACCUGGAUGGGAGACCACUUGGGAAAACUAUGUUGCUGUUGAAA